rnacentral:rRNA from 1 species
UACGUAGGGGGCAAGCGUUGUCCGGAUUUAUUGGGCGUAAAGAGCUCGUAGGCGGUUUGGUAAGUCUGGUGUGAAAUCUCCACGCUCAACGUGGAGGGGCCACCCGAUACUGCCAUGACUGGAGUCCGGUAGAGGAGUGUGGAAUUCCCGGUGUAGUGGUGAAAUGCGUAGAUAUCGGGAGGAACACCAGUGGCGAAGGCGACUACCUGGCCUGUUCUUGACGCUGAGGCGCGAAAGCUAGGGGAGCAAACGGG